rnacentral:rRNA from 1 species
AGUGAACGCUGGCGGUAGGCCUAACACAUGCAAGUCGAACGGCAGCACAGUAAGAGCUUGCUCUUACGGGUGGCGAGUGGCGGACGGGUGAGGAAUACAUCGGAAUCUACUUUUUCGUGGGGGAUAACGUAGGGAAACUUACGCUAAUACCGCAUACGACCUACGGGUGAAAGCAGUGGAUCUUCGGACCUUGCGCGAUUGAAUGAGCCGAUGUCGGAUUAGCUAGUUGGCGGGGUAAAGGCCCACCAAGUCGACGAUCGGUAGCUGGUCUGAGAGGAUGAUCAGCCACACUGGAACUGAGACACGGUCCAGAGUCCUACGGGAGGCAGCAGUGGGGAAUAUUGGACAAUGGGCGCAAGCCUGAUCCAGCCAUACCGCGUGGGUGAAGAAGGCCUUCGGGUUGUAAAGCCCUUUUGUUGGGAAAGAAAAGCAGCAGGUUAAUACCCCGCUGUUCUGACGGUACCCAAAGAAUAAGCACCGGCUAACUUCGUG